GACGAACCGUGCGAACGUUAUUCGGAAUUACUGGGCGUAAAGCGCGUGUAGGCGGCCCUGCAAGUCGGAUGUGAAAUCCCACGGCUCAACCGUGGAAGUGCAUUCGAAACUGCAGGGCUAGAGUCCUGGAGAGGAAGGUGGAAUGCUUGGUGUAGAGGUGAAAUUCGUAGAUAUCAAGCGGAACACCGGUGGCGAAGGCGGCCUUCUGGACAGUGACUGACGCUGAGACGGCGAAAGCGUGGGGAGCAAACAGGG
rnacentral:rRNA from 1 species